AAUUUUAAUAGUUAUUUAUUAAAUUUUAUUUGUAUUUAUUUUUUAUAUUGAUAAUAAAAAUAAUUUUUUUAGUAGUUGUUUUAGUAUUUUAUAAAGAAAAAAUUUUUAUAAUUAUAGUUUAGUAGUAUUGUGAAAGAAAAUUGAAAUAUUUUGAAAAAUUUUUAUUGUUAAAGAAGAUUUUAUUUUUUGUACCUUGUGUAUCAGGGUUUAUUAAUUAAAAAAUAUUUAAUAAUAUUUUUUCCGAUUUCAAGAGAUUUAAUAGUUUAUAUUAGUUACUGUGGCAUAAGUAUUAAUUAAUAAGUUAUUAGAAAUGAAACGUUAUUCGUUCUUGAAUAUAUCUGGUUUUUUAAGAAAUAAAUUUAAUUUACAUAUUUUAAAUUUAAUUAUUUAUUUUUAAUAAAUUAAUUAAAUUUUUUAUAUGAAUAUCUUAAGGGAUGAGCUUUAAGAUAAAUUUUUAAAAUUUUAUUAUUAUGAAAAAUAAUUAUAGGCUUAGAAAUAGUCAUUAUUAGAAAUUAUGUUAUAAUUUAUUAUUAGUAUAAUAAUAUUUAUUAUUUUUGAUUUAAAUUUUUUAUUAAAAAUUUUAUUUUAAUUUAAAAAAUAAAGUUAUAAUGAUAAAAUUAGUAAAUAAAAAUAUUUUUAAAUAAGUUUUUUAUGAUAGGUUUAUUUAAAGAAUUCGGCAAAAUUAUAUACUCACCUGUUUAUCAAAAACAUGUCUUUUUAAGAAAAUUUAUAUAAAGUCUAACCUGCCCACUGAUUUUAAUUGAAGGGCCGCGGUAUUUUGACCGUGCAAAGGUAGCAUAAUCAUUAGUCUUUUAAUUGAAGGCUUGUAUGAAUGGUUGAAUGAAGUAUAUGCUGUUUCAAUUAAAAUUAUAGUUGAAUUUUAUUUUUUAGUUAAAAAGCUAAAAUAAAAUUAAAAGACGAGAAGACCCUAUAAAGCUUUAUAUUUUAAUUUUAUUAUUUAUAAAGAAUUUUUUAGAUUUUAUUAAUUAAAUUAUUUUGUUGGGGUGACAAUAAGAUUUAAUAAACUCUUAUAUAUUAUAAACAUUGAUUUAUGAAUUAUUGAUCCAGUUUUAUUGAUUAAAAAUUUAAGUUACUUUAGGGAUAACAGCGUAAUUUUUUUAAAGAGUUCUUAUCGAAAAAAAGGAUUGCGACCUCGAUGUUGGACUAAGAAUAUUUCUAGGUGUAGAAGUUUAGAGUUUGGGUCUGUUCGACCCUUGAAUUCUUACAUGAUCUGAGUUCAGACCGGCGUGAGCCAGGUUGGUUUCUAUCUUUAAUAAGUUAAAAUAUUUUAGUACGAAAGGACCAAAUAUUUAAAAUUAAGUUUUUUAUUUAGAUUAAAAUUAAUUAAAUUAAAAUAUUUAUUAAAAAACAAUUUAAUUAAAAAGA
rnacentral:rRNA from 1 species